GCAGCUUGCUGCGGGUACUCGAGUGGCGAACGGGUGAGUAACACGUGGGUGAUCUGCCUUGCACUUCGGGAUAAGCUUGGGAAACUGGGUCUAAUACCGGAUAGGACAGCUGUUUAGUGUCAGUUGUGGAAAGUUUUUUCGGUGCAAGAUGAGCUCGCGGCCUAUCAGCUUGUUGGUGGGGUAAUGGCCUACCAAGGCGUCGACGGGUAGCCGGCCUGAGAGGGUGUACGGCCACAUUGGGACUGAGAUACGGCCCAGACUCCUACGGGAGGCAGCAGUGGGGAAUAUUGCACAAUGGGCGGAAGCCUGAUGCAGCGACGCCGCGUGGGGGAUGAAGGCCUUCGGGUUGUAAACUCCUUUCGACAGGGACGAAGCGUAAGUGACGGUACCUGUAUAAGAAGCACCGGCCAACUACGUGCCAGCAGCCGCGGUAAUACGUAGGGUGCGAGCGUUGUCCGGAAUUACUGGGCGUAAAGAGCUCGUAGGUGGUUUGUCGCGUCGUCUGUGAAAUUCCGGGGCUUAACUCCGGGCGUGCAGGCGAUACGGGCUGACUUGAGUGCUGUAGGGGAGACUGGAAUUCCUGGUGUAGCGGUGAAAUGCGCAGAUAUCAGGAGGAACACCGAUGGCGAAGGCAGGUCUCUGGGCAGUAACUGACGCUGAGGAGCGAAAGCAUGGGUAGCGAACAGGAUUAGAUACCCUGGUAGUCCAUGCCGUAAACGGUGGGCGCUAGGUGUAGGGGGCUUACGCGUCUUCUGUGCCGUAGCUAACGCAUUAAGCGCCCCGCCUGGGGAGUACGCCGCAAGGCUA
rnacentral:rRNA from 1 species